rnacentral:lncRNA from 1 species
AGAAACAAAAGGCUAAUAGUGAAAAUGAAUACUUAGCUUACCGUGCAACUUGAGUGUGCUCUUUUCUGUCUCUAAAAGGUACAUACAGCCAUACGCGAGAGAAGGCGAGAGAUGGAUUAAACCUAAAGCACUGUUACAUGUCUAUUCCAAAUAUCAAAAGAAUCAUAUUUGGAUUCAACAAAUAACAAAAACAAUAAAAUUAAAUCCCAAAAACAUGCAAACACACAAAUAAUUAAAAAUGUCAUGUUAUGGCAUGGUAUUGAAGUAGUUGAAUUCUUCAGGCUACUUUUAUGAGAAAUUAUGGUGUAUAUUUUUUAACUGCGAAUUUUCCAACUGCAACAACAAUAAGUCAGUGUAGUCUCACCUCUAUCUUGUGGAGGUAAAGAGGCGAUUUUCAAUAGACCCUAAGAAAUUUAAACAUUGAAGCUCGGAUUUGUAAUACGAUAAGAGAGAUUGGAAUCACCGCCAUGACUGCAAGCACCGGUUGCAGGAUAACCUUCCAUCCGGGUUGCC